GGUGAGGUAACCUUUUUGGAGCCAGCCGCCUAAGGUGGGAUAGAUGAUUGGGGUGAAGUCGUAACAAGGUAGCCGUAUCGGAAGGUGCGGCUGGAUCACCUCCUUUCUAAGGAA
rnacentral:rRNA from 1 species